AAAAUAUUUCUUAACUGUUUGAGCACUGGGUGCAAUAUAUAAUAGAGCUUGCAGUGGUCUUAGAGGUUAAAUGAACCUUACUUUUUGUACCUCUUUUUUUUACAGCUCAUUCAGCUUGUCAGUCUAAUCACGACUCGGAUUCCAGCAGUUGAUGUUUAAUUCACAUAAUGUGCGGGUGAUAAGAUUUAUUUCAGGUAAACAUGUAAUCAAUACAUUGUGCUAAUGUUACACUUUCCCAGAAUACUCAGAAGAAGCAGAAUUCAUAGUUGUGCCGAGUUUGCAACUUUGUGAAUAAUACAUUGCAC